UACGGAGGGUGCGAGUGUUAUUCGGAAUCACUGGGCGUAAAGAGCACGUAGGCGGAUAGGCAAGUCAGAUGUGAAAGCCCGGAGCUUAACUUCGGAAUUGCAUUUGAUACUGCCUGUCUUGAGUAUGGUAGAGGGGGGUGGAAUUCCCGGUGUAGAGGUGAAAUUCGUAGAUAUCGGGAGGAACACCAGAGGCGAAGGCGACCCCCUGGGCCAUCACUGACGCUGAGGUGCGAAAGCGUGGGGAGCAAACAGG
rnacentral:rRNA from 1 species